rnacentral:rRNA from 1 species
AUUGAACGCUGGCGGCAUGCCUUACACAUGCAAGUCGAACGGUAACAGGUCUUCGGAUGCUGACGAGUGGCGAACGGGUGAGUAAUACAUCGGAACGUGCCUAGUAGUGGGGGAUAACUACUCGAAAGAGUGGCUAAUACCGCAUGAGAUCUACGGAUGAAAGCAGGGGAUCGCAAGACCUUGUGCUACUACAGCGGCCGAUGGCAGAUUAGGUAGUUGGUGGGAUAAAAGCUUACCAAGCCGACGAUCUGUAGCUGGUCUGAGAGGACGAGCCGCCACACUGGGCCUGAGACACGGCCCAGACUCCUACGGGAGGCAGCAGUGGGGAAUUUUGGACAAUGGGCGCAAGCCUGAUCCAGCAAUGCCGCGUGCAGGAUGAAGGCCUUCGGGUUGUAAACUGCUUUUGUACGGAACGAAAAGCCCCGGGUUAAUACCCUGGGGUCAUGACGGUACCGUAAGAAUAAGCACCGGCUAACUACGUGCCAGCAGCCGCCGUAA